GAUGAACGCUGGCGGCGUGCCUAAUACAUGCAAGUCGAGCGAACAGACGAGGAGCUUGCUCCUCUGACGUUAGCGGCGGACGGGUGAGUAACACGUGGAUAACCUACCUAUAAGACUGGGAUAACUUCGUGAAACCGGAGCUAAUACCGCAUAAUAUAUUGAACCGCAUGGUUCAAUAGUGAAAGACGGUUUUGCUGUCACUUAUAGAUGGAUCCGCACCGCAUUAGCUAGUUGGUAAGGUAACGGCUUACCAAGGCAACGAUGCGUAGCCGACCUGAGAGGGUGAUCGGCCACACUGGAACUGAGACACGGUCCAGACUCCUACGGGAGGCAGCAGUAGGGAAUCUUCCGCAAUGGGCGAAAGCCUGACGGAGCAACGCCGCGUGAGUGAUGAAGGUCUUCGGAUCGUAAAACUCUGUUAUUAGGGAAGAACAAAUGUGUAAGUAACUAUGCACGUCUUGACGGUACCUAAUCAGAAAGCCACGGCUAACUACGUG
rnacentral:rRNA from 1 species